GGGGUUUUAGCUCAGCUGGGAGAGCACCUGCUUUGCAAGCAGGGGGUCAGCGGUUCGAUCCCGCUAAGCUCCACCA
rnacentral:tRNA from 1 species